GUACGAACGCUGGCGGCGUGCCUAAUACAUGCAAGUCGAGCGGACGAAUCGAAAGCUUGCUUUUGAUUCGUUAGCGGCGGACGGGUGAGUAACACGUGGGCAACCUGCCCUGUAGACGGGGAUAACACCGAGAAAUCGGUGCUAAUACCGGAUAACACGAAAUGUCGCAUGACGUUUCGUUGAAAGACGGCGCAAGCUGUCGCUACAGGAUGGGCCCGCGGCGCAUUAGCUAGUUGGUGAGGUAACGGCUCACCAAGGCGACGAUGCGUAGCCGACCUGAGAGGGUGAUCGGCCACACUGGGACUGAGACACGGCCCAGACUCCUACGGGAGGCAGCAGUAGGGAAUCUUCCGCAAUGGACGAAAGUCUGACGGAGCAACGCCGCGUGAGCGAAGAAGGCCUUCGGGUCGUAAAGCUCUGUUGUUAGGGAAGAACAAGUAGCGCAGUAACUGGCGUUACCGUGACGGUACCUAACGAGAAAGCCACGGCUAACUACGUGCCAGCAGCCGCGGUAAUACGUAGGUGGCAAGCGUUGUCCGGAAUUAUUGGGCGUAAAGCGCGCGCAGGCGGUUCCUUAAGUCUGAUGUGAAAGUCCACGGCUCAACCGUGGAGGGUCAUUGGAAACUGGGGGACUUGAGUGCAGAAGAGGAGAGCGGAAUUCCACGUGUAGCGGUGAAAUGCGUAGAGAUGUGGAGGAACACCAGUGGCGAAGGCGGCUCUCUGGUCUGUAACUGACGCUGAGGCGCGAAAGCGUGNGGAGCAAACAGGAUUAGAUACCCUGGUAGUCCACGCCGUAAACGAUGAGUGCUAAGUGUUAGAGGGUAUCCACCCUUUAGUGCUGUAGCUAACGCAUUAAGCACUCCGCCUGGGGAGUACGCUCGCAAGAG
rnacentral:rRNA from 1 species